rnacentral:misc_RNA from 1 species
UCUCCGUUGGUGAACCAGCGGAGGGAUCAUUACUGGAAUCGCAAGAUCCCACAACCCCUGUGAACCUACCGAAACGUUGCCUCGGCGGGCGCCCGGCCCCGCGCCGGGCGCUGAGCCCGCCGGCGGCCCCCUACUCUUGUCUCUGCAGCGUGGCAUCUCAGAGUCCCGGAAAACAAGUAAAAACUUUCAACAACGGAUCUCUUGGCUCUA